rnacentral:rRNA from 1 species
GACGAACGCUGGCGGCGUGCUUAACACAUGCAAGUCGAACGGAAAGGCCCUGCUCGCAGGGUACUCGAGUGGCGAACGGGUGAGUAACACGUGGGUGAUCUGCCCUGCACUUCGGGAUAAGCCUGGGAAACUGGGUCUAAUACCGGAUAGGAGCCAUUUUUAGUGUGAUGGUUGGAAAGUUUUUUCGGUGUAGGAUGAGCUCGCGGCCUAUCAGCUUGUUGGUGGGGUAAUGGCCUACCAAGGCGGCGACGGGUAGCCGGCCUGAGAGGGUGGACGGCCACAUUGGGACUGAGAUACGGCCCAGACUCCUACGGGAGGCAGCAGUGGGGAAUAUUGCACAAUGGGCGCAAGCCUGAUGCAGCGACGCCGCGUGGGGGAUGACGGCCUUCGGGUUGUAAACUCCUUUCGCUAGGGACGAAGCUUUUUGUGACGGUACCUAGAUAAGAAGCACCGGCUAACUACGUG